ACGGAUCGGUCAAAUUAUUACGGUUGGAUAAACUGGCAAUACUAUUAUCGUGAUUCGACGAUUAGCAAGAAAUUUGGCGUAUAUUUUUAAAGAUAAGAAGAAAACAGCGUGAAUUUUGUUGAUAUUUGUGGUUCAUAUGUUUAUAUGCGAAGGAUUUUUUCUGUAGAUUUAAAUUACUCAAAGAUCGGGCAGAAAAAUCAUCAGUUUUAAAGUGUGGAAUUCGGAGCGGACCCUAGCAUACGAAGUGUCAAUUCAACCUGUUCACCAAGAAAUCUAUAUUUGUCAACACAUGGAGUGAAUUUUGGCAUAUUUCCUACGGCUCCGUUUUCUUUAGUUGAUCUGCCAAUCAUGCCUUUUUUACAGAGGGUAGAAAUGGC